CACCAAGUGAAUUUCAGCAGUGAUAUUUGAUCUUAGUUUAAGCUUGGUUAACAGUGCUACUAACAACUCAAAAUUUCUCAUCAAAGCUUAAAACUAGAAGACACUAUAAUUAGCCAACAGACUUCUGCAGGCUUUUCCAGUCAUGCUACCUUGGGACACCAAAUCAUCACAUACAUUACACUGUGCACUUCUAUACUGUUCUUGAAUAUGUAUGCCAAAUGCUAGAGUCCAGUGAAUUUUAGCCAUGCUUCAGCUGUGUAUUAUUAUUCUGCCCUGGCCUGGGAACAAUAUGAAAAAGGAAAUUUUUUAUGAUCAAGAUCAGGAUUUUCAGAGUUUUCUCUCCAGUCACAAAAUCUAAUUACUCCAUUAAUAAUCUAAUUACUCUUUCAACAACUGUUCCACUUAGAGGCUCAAAUUAAUUACGUAUUUGACCAUGUUACUUUUACCUGAUUUGUCUUCCAGAUUACCUAGCAAAUACAUUAUUUGAUGAAUAAUUCUACCAUGUUUUAGAAACUUCCCUAAAUUUCUCUAUUCUUCAUUGUCAUCUGUAACACAUGAAUGCUAAGACUCACUAAAAUAUAACAAUGUGGAUCUAAGUGAAAAG
rnacentral:lncRNA from 1 species